UGUGUGUCGUUAGACCAGGCGUGAUUUCCUUCGUGAUGAAAAAAAAAGGCAACAUGUUUAGGCAGCCAUCUUGUUUUCAUAGCCGGCGGCACUAAUUAAAAGCCCUGGAGACAUAGAACGCCCGCAAGCUUCUUCCUCUAGUCAUCAUCAUCAUCUUCUUCAUAUAUAUAUAUACUGCUGGACAAUGACUGCCAAAUGAUGGUGCUUGGCUAUAUAACAUCCGCGACCUCUAGGCUUGACCCCCCCUCCCCCGGCCCUAGGGCAACUCAUCUUUUUCUUUUUUGUGAGUCAACUUAUAUAUAUUUUUUUUUCUAUUCGAGGCUAUAUACCCUUAAAAGAAACUACUGUAUGCCUCUUUUUAUGUAAAUGACCCCUUCGUGAAUUACCUCCACUCUGCGGCUUUACCGGAGCUUCUUCUUCCCAGUGGGUUUUCUUUUCUUUUACUGCCCAAGCAGCACCUGCAGGCCAUGAUGGCACCAACAACGGACAUGACGAAGUUCUUUUUAUUUUAUUUUUUUUCUUGAAAUAAGAGGAUAACCGAUUCACCUAUUCCGGAGCAAUCAUCUUUUUUUUUUUAAACUCCGCCCAGUUAAUUACACACGUUCAGGCCAUCUAA